GACUUGCAGGGCCUACAUGACGUCCGAAGGUAUCCUGGGGCCAAGAAGCUUCAGUUUUCCAUUACCUAAAGGUUCUCCCCUAAAAAAGAUGUUUGAUCCAUUAAUCAUUGCGCUUACGGAGGCUGGGAUAGUCGACAAGAUUAUCAAGGAUGCAGUGUCUAACUCAUCUGAGUGUGCCCGGCUCGACGCCAGACUCGGCACCCCAAGGAGGCUGCCGGAGCUGAGGGACUUACUGGGAGUGUUUUCGCUCUACGCUUCUGGUAUGUUGAUUUCUUGUGGAGUGUUUGCAGCCGAGAUGAUGAUACGACCGGUCAAGCGCCGCAGAUCUUAUAAACGACCCAGAUAUUGCCCGCCAGAGUGAAGUUUGUCCUCAGCUGCCGAAAACAAGACACAAGAACAGGCUUUCGCACGCAUAUAUAAAAUCUUCCUACGUGUAUGUGGUCCCUGGUCUUCCCUGAGUGAAGACGCUCGGCUGUAGCUUCGAAAAUAACAACCGAGUAUUCUGAAAAAUACUCUCAUUGUGAUUCCCACUACAAAUUAUUCAUAAUAAUUCCAACUUAACCUAGCCUAGCUUAACCUGACUUAACCUGACCUGACUUGACCUGACCUGACCUGUUCAAGAGUGGACAUCACAUACCCGUACAGAGAAUUGAGGUAGUACGCCUCCCCGCACAUUUCUUCUUCAUUCUCACAGCUUGUAGUCUGGUACUGACGUGACGUGUUAGUUCCAUAUUCUUAAACGUCUCAAGCUCCAUUGCGACUAUUUUCCAAGACCACAGAGAAGACUAAGAGGGUUUGCACGGGUGAUUUUCCCGUCAAAGUUGUAGAAGUCGUGUCAAACUAUCACUCGCACCGCAAAACAACUCCAUGAAAACCCCUGUUACUACCACGAGAGGUUUUUCAAACAGGCGCACUGAGAUUAAUUGAUUGAUGGUUUAUUAUUGCAAAAGUACACAGCAAAGGAGAAUGGAGGAACAUAUGCCUUCAUACGUCUAGGAAUAUGGAGUAUGGCGUCAAACAAUGUUUCAGUAGGAUAUGCCAUUAAAGGCGACAUCUUUGGUGAUAUAUUCAGGACUCCAAAUGUAGUUUUCACGCAGUUGUGUAAUGAGAA